UUACGGCUAUAUCACGUUGAAACAAUUGUUCUCGUCCGAUCGCCGACGUUAAGCAACGUCGAGCCUUGUCAGUACGUAAGUGGGUGACCGCUUGGGAAUACCAGGUGUUGUAAG